rnacentral:rRNA from 1 species
GACGAACGCUGGCGGCGUGCUUAACACAUGCAAGUCGAACGGUGAUCUCGGUGCUUGCACCGGGUGAUCAGUGGCGAACGGGUGAGUAACACGUGAGCAACCUGCCCCCGACUCUGGGAUAACCCCGAGAAAUCGGAGCUAAUACCGGAUACGAGACGCACAGGCAUCUGUAGCGUCUGGAAAGAAUUUCGGUCGGGGAUGGGCUCGCGGCCUAUCAGCUAGUUGGUGAGGUAGUGGCUCACCAAGGCGACGACGGGUAGCCGGCCUGAGAGGGCGACCGGCCACACUGGGACUGAGACACGGCCCAGACUCCUACGGGAGGCAGCAGUGGGGAAUAUUGCACAAUGGGCGAAAGCCUGAUGCAGCGACGCCGCGUGGGGGAUGAAGACCUUCGGGUUGUAAACCCCUUUCAGCAGGGAAGAAGCGAAAGUGACGGUACCUGCAGAAGAAGCGCCGGCUAACUACGUGCCAGCAGCCGCGGUAAUACGUAGGGCGCAAGCGUUGUCCGGAAUUAUUGGGCGUAAAGAGCUCGUAGGUGGUUUGUCGCGUCUGCUGUGAAAACCCGAGGCUCAACCUCGGGCCUGCAGUGGGUACGGGCAGACUAGAGUGCGGUAGGGGAGACUGGAAUUCCUGGUGUAGCGGUGGAAUGCGCAGAUAUCAGGAGGAACACCGAUGGCGAAGGCAGGUCUCUGGGCCGCAACUGACACUGAGGAGCGAAAGCAUGGGGAGCGAACAGGAUUAGAUACCCUGGUAGUCCAUGCCGUAAACGUUGGGCACUAGGUGUGGGGCUCAUUCCACGAGUUCCGUGCCGCAGCAAACGCAUUAAGUGCCCCGCCUGGGGAGUACGGCCGCAAGGCUA